AGUGAACGCUGGCGGUAGGCCUAACACAUGCAAGUCGAACGGCAGCACAGUAAGAGCUUGCUCUUACGGGUGGCGAGAGGCGGACGGGUGAGGAAUACAUCGGAAUCUACUUUUUCGUGGGGGAUAACGUAGGGAAACUUACGCUAAUACCGCAUACGACCUACGGGUGAAAGCAGGGGAUCUUCGGACCUUGCGCGGUUGAAUGAGCCGAUGUCGGAUUAGCUAGUUGGCGGGGUAAAGGCCCACCAAGGCGACGAUCCGUAGCUGGUGUGAGAGGAUGGUCAGCCACACUGGAACUGAGACACGGUCCAGGCUCCUAAGGGAGGCAGCAGUGGGGAAUAUUAGACAAUGGGCGGAAGCCUGAUCCAGCCAGACCGCGUGGGUGAAGAAGGCCUUCGGGUUGUAAAGCCCUUUUGUUGGGAAAGAAAAGCAGCAGGUUAAUACCACGCUGUUCUGACGGUACCCAAAGAAUAAGCACCGGCUAACUUCGUG
rnacentral:rRNA from 1 species